rnacentral:rRNA from 1 species
AUACGGAGGGUGCAAGCGUUACUCGGAAUCACUGGGCGUAAAGCGCGCGCAGGCGGGCUGAUAAGUUGGAUGUGAAAGCCUACGGCUCAACCGUAGAACUGCAUCCAAAACUGUCAGUCUAGAGUCUGUGAGGGGAAGAUGGAAUUAGUUGUGUAGGGGUAAAAUCCGUAGAGAUAACUAGGAAUACCAAAAGCGAAGGCGAUCUUCUGGAACAGUACUGACGCUGAGGCGCGAAAGCGUGGGGAGCAAACAGGAUUAGAAACCCCAGUAGUCC